CCUACGGGAGGCAGCAGUGGGGAAUAUUGUUCAAUGGGCGAAAGCCUGACGCAGCGACGCCGCGUGAGGGAUGAAGGUCUUCGGAUCGUAAACCUCUGUCUGCAGGGAAGAACGGUCACUGUGCUAAUCAUCAGUGAAUUGACGGUACCUGCAAAGGAAGCACCGGCUAACUCCGUGCCACCAGCCGCGGUAAUACGGAGGGUGCGAGCGUUAAUCGGAAUUACUGGGUGUAAAGCGCUCGUAGGCGGUAUGUCAAGUCAAGGGUGAAAUCCCCGGGCUCAACGUGGGAACUGCAUUUGAAACUGGCAAACUGGAGUGUGUGAGAGGAUAGUGGAAUUCGAGGUGUAGGGGUGAAAUGCGUAGAUAUCUGGAGGAACAUCAGUGGCGAAGGCGACUAUCUGGCACAUAACUGACGCUGAGGAGCGAAAGCGUGGGUAGCAAACAGGAUUAGAUACCCUUGUAGUC
rnacentral:rRNA from 1 species